AGGUCAGCAUACUGCCGUGAAUACGUUCCCGGGCCUUGUACACACCGCCCGUCACACCAUGAGAGUUGGAAACACCCAAAGCCUGUGAGCUAACUUAAAGAGGCAGCAGUCGAAGGUAGAGCCAAUGAUUGGGGUGAAGUCGUAACAAGGUACC
rnacentral:rRNA from 1 species